ACGAGGACAGGUGGUGUAAAUAACAAAAGUAUAUAUUAGUAUGACGCUCGGGAAUACGAGAAGUCUUUGACGUUUCGAGCUACGCUCUUCAACAGAAAGAAUACGGAGACAAGGAGAAAAACACGGAGAAAAAAAAUUGAAUAGUGUUCAGUCGGAUCGGCCAGGCUGUCUGGUGCUGAGUCGGCUCCGCUGGCCACACCAUUCGCUCCACUCCCCUCGUGUUCUCACCAUUUUGCUCCAAAAUUUUCCUUAAAUUAUCUUCCCACCUGAUUGGAAGUCUUCUGGGUGGUCUCUGCCGCUCACGCGGGUACCACUCGACAACUGCACGGGUCCGCUGAUCUUCUGUGAACCUUGCGACACGAACAACCCUUCGUAGCUUUGCGUGAUGGUAUUCUGCGACGACGUCCUUCACUCCAUUGGGACGAUGACUUAGCUGACCGAAACAUCGAAGUUACUGUCAACAACGUUCUUGUUGAAGAAUAUUAAAUUUGUUCUCUACAAAAGUAUAGGGUAACUAAAUUAUAUAACCAAGUUUCUGAACGAAGAAAUAAGAGAAAAAACAAGAAAACAAGAAUGAAAUUAAAUGAAUUCUGUCUACAUUAGUCAUAGGGGCUUCACACAUACAUAAAAACAUUGAAUAUUGUUAUCCUCAUGGCUGAAAAAACCCAUAUCAAUGAGGACAUCUCUCAAGAAGAAGACAUAUUAAAUGGACCAUUUCCGGGGAUAGUUCAGAUUUCAGAUCUUCCCGAAUGGUUAGACGACCUUGAACAUAAAGUAGACUGCGUCCUUGAAGCCUUGGCGGAGGGAAACGAGAUCGGGAUACCGUACAGUCUUCCAGUGAUCGAUGAUAGUAUCCUUGAGAUGGUCUUUAGUGCAGAAUUCCAACGUGACUUGGACGAGUUUCUAUCAGACGGCGAAGACGUAGACUUGCAAGCGGAAACUGCAUAUUUAAGUCGGUGUAGCGGUGUAGUCCAAUGACAUGUACUUAUAUAUAUAUUCAUUUCUAAAA